UGCUCACAGGGAGACAGAUGUCCCUUCCGCCACUGUGAGGCGGCUCUGGGCAGCGAACGAGUCUGCCGACUGUGGAUACAGGGCUGCUGUUUCCGCAACGACUGCAAGUUCAGACACAUGAAAAUUGAAAAGAAGCGCAGUGCGGUUCCCUGCUACUGGGAGAAUCAGCCGGGAGGCUGUCAGAAAGCCCACUGCCGUUUUCUUCAUUUGAAGGAACGCGGUGGGAACGGACCGACCGUACCACCAAGUGACGAAGCUGACACAAGCCUUCCACUGAACAGCAGCCCUGCAGAAAGUCUGGAGAACCAGACAGAGGUUGAGGAGGCAGCAGAAGGAG